UUAGUAAAAAAAUGUGAAUUGUAUUGAGUUUUUCGAACUGAUACUGGCACGUGUGGCCGCCCAGUAACACCAAUGGGGUUAACUAAAAUAGCGUUCACAGUUAUUUACAAUCCUACUGUUAGAUGAUAUGAGAAAAAGAGAGCGCAUGGCAUUGAAACUUUUGUGCUUCAUUGCGGAACAUUUUCUUCCUAUUACUAAAGUAAAUGUAGUCGUUAUUACUGUAAUCAGCCAACAGACCAAAAUGUAAGCAACGAUGACGGCGAAGUGCGCUCACAAUAAUGAGGUACUUGUGCUCGUUCUCUUUCGGAAACGUUAACGAAAGCUUUGAAGCAAGGCAUGAAAAUAUUACCAAGCCAUUAAAACUUUGUGAAGAAUCAAACAGUUCUUAUUUUUGGUUACGUUUGAAGCGUACAACUAAAGAAAUCAAUCAGAAGAGAGGUAUGUAUUCUUCAUACAUAGCAGUUUAAUAGAAAACCUCGAUUUGACAAUGGUGCUAUGUGAAGGAACAUAAAGUACGUACGCGCAAACAUAUAUAUACACUAACAUAUGCAUUUUGUACAUAUAAUAAUCAUUAAAAAGGUAAAAGUAAAGGAUAUACGCAGCGUUAACUUGUGAAAGAAAAUAAAUAGGUAUACGGCGCUCAGGCAUAAGAAUCUCUCCGAUGGGCGCUUAUGUCAUUGAUGAAUAAUGAGAAAACUAAUUUUAGUAGGAAGUAACAACAUGUUUACGUACGUGAACGUCAGUGUAUUUAUGUGUAUACAUAUGUGUUUGUAAUGUCCAGACGUUAUAAUAAAUGCACUAAUUUGCACGUAGUACGAUAAUAUAUUAAUUUAUAAUAAAUAUAAUAAAUUUGCACGUGAGUACCAUAAUACCCAUGUUUCCAUUGUUUAUGCCUGAAUGCGUGCGUAUACGGGGGUGUGCAUAAUGACACAACUGCCAUAAGCUACGUGAAAUGAUAACAGUUCUGAUUUUAUAGUGACAUUUUUAUAAAGGUUCAUGUAAGCAACUAUGAAGCAGUGCGCAUAUGUGACUAAGGAUUCUACGAAUAUUAACGUCUUCUGGCAUUCAAUUCUUUACUUUCAAUAAAAAACGUUGUUGACAUACAUAUUGCAUAUAAUUUUAGGCUCAUAGCCGUAUUUCUCGUCUAAGAAAGUGCAAAAAUGACCGAAAAUACUACAGUAAAUAUAUUAAGGCAAAACUAAUGAUUUCAAAACCAAAUCAAAAGAACGCAUAUGUAUGCUGUGAACUGAAAGUAUAGGGAAAGACGAAUACUGGGGAACUACUGAGUAAUGUGGUUCGUAUGUACCUUUCCGUAAUGUAUCAAAAAUAUAAAACAUGUAACAAACUAAAACUAGUAACAACAAAAGCUAAUAAAAUUAAAAAUUAAUAUCUAUAUCAAAACAAGGAUGUUCUGGUACAUUUAAUAACAGAUUUAAAACUGUUUCGAAGUUAUUAAAGCAAUAUGAAAUAAAACAAACAAAAUACUUUCCGCAAACCUGCAAAAAGCAACACACUCUGAUUUAAUACAUAAUUUAUUUACUAAAAGAUAUACUUAAACAAACUUAAUUUAUAGGCUCAAUUUGAAAUAUAUUAAACGAAUGAUAAAUUUAAACUAAGCGUUGUUUGCUUUAUAUUAACAAUAUUAAUAUGUUUGAUUUCGAUAAAUAAUAAUGUCUUCAAAUAGCGCAUUAAGUGUUAUCAAUAUGCUCAAUACAAAGAGCAAAGUGCAUACUUGAAGAAUGACCAAAGAUUUAAAUUGAGUAAAAAUUAAGCUAAUUAAAAACAGUUUCGAUAUAAGUAAAUUAUACAUCAACGAAUUAAAUAGAAGCGAUCACGAAUUUCUGGUAAAUGGAUUAAUCGUUAUACGUAUCAGAGUUUUUGGACGCCGCUGUCUUUUCAAAUUCGUCAAAGUUUUAUGAAUAUGGCAAACAUAAUAUUGAUUGCUUGCCUUGCAGUAUUGGGCAUCAUAAUAGCUAUCGCGUUGUUCCUUGCUGGAGGCUAUCUUUGGUGGCGCCACAAACGUUCGCAGUUGCAGUUCAUCGAACCCAAUGAGGAUGAGGAUUCUAGUAGUUACAGCUUAAGACUACCGCAAUCCUCUACUCAAGAGAUGCAGGAUACAUCUAUUCCACCUGCGAAAGUGCAGCUACAGCAACAGACCACUGCACAAUCAUUAACAACACCAUUGCAAAAUAAUAUCAAUAAAAAAUUGAACGGAUUUCUCAACUUAAAAACACCCUUGAUUGGAACGGCAGCGCAGGCUCAAAAUAAGACUGUAAUCGGCUCAAAUACGAGUGGUGGCACUGAGAGUGGCGGUGUUAAGGAUGGCACAAAUAAGAGUAUUUCUAUGACCGACAUGUAUUUCGACAACUCAGAACCCAGUGAGAAUGUUGGUCAAAUACACUUUUCUUUGGAAUACGACUUCCAGAAUACAACUCUUAUACUAAAAGUGUUGCAAGGAAAAGAGCUACCAGCUAAAGACUUAAGCGGCACUUCAGAUCCAUACGUGCGUGUUACAUUGCUUCCCGAUAAGAAACAUCGCUUGGAGACAAAAAUCAAGAGGCGCACAUUGAAUCCACGUUGGAACGAAACAUUUUAUUUUGAAGGAUUCCCCAUACAAAAACUACAAUCUAGGGUAUUGCAUUUGCAUGUAUUCGAUUAUGAUCGGUUUUCGCGUGACGACUCCAUCGGUGAAGUGUUCCUACCACUAUGUCAGGUAACAGCAUAUGAAUAAUUUAUAUAAAAACGCCUCCUGAAAUUUCAGUUUUUACCAUAAAAAGGUGGGCGUUUGCAAAAGAAAUCAACUUGUGAAAUAACGAACACCCUAAUAUAUAUAUAUAUAAAUGUAAUAUGCAGUAUAGAAUCUUAGUAUAUGCAAACGAGAUAUUUAAAGUAUUAUCAUUUGUAACAUAUGUGCAAUAUAAAUAUUUUCGUGGUUUGUGAUUAAUUUAAUUUUUUCAAGUACAGCAGCAGUAAGUGACAUUUAGGUAUUGAUAGGUGAAUAAAUGUAUUUAAACCUGCUCUGAAGUUCACCGAGAGAUCAUGUAACGAGUCAUUGAAGACUUAGAAAUAUGAUUAGAUAAUAUGCACAUGAUGAUGUGCCUUAAAGUUGUAAUGUGUAACAAGGUGUAGCAAGGUUUUCAUCUUCAUUAUCCCUUUAUAUCUAUUACAUGUGUAUAUGACAUGGCUAUAGGUUGAUUUCGCUAGCAAGCAAUCAUUUUGGAAAGCAUUGAAACCACCAGCUAAGGAUAAAUGCGGUGAAUUGCUUUCAUCGCUCUGCUAUCAUCCAUCAAAUUCAGUACUAACAUUGACAUUGAUUAAAGCGCGAAAUCUGAAAGCAAAAGACAUCAAUGGCAAAUCAGAUCCAUAUGUUAAAGUGUGGCUGCAAUUCGGCGAUAAGCGUGUCGAAAAACGAAAGACUCCAAUAUUUAAUUGCACACUCAAUCCUGUCUUUAAUGAGUCAUUUAGUUUCAAUGUACCGUGGGAGAAGAUACGGGAAUGCUCCUUAGAUGUAAUGGUAAUGGAUUUUGAUAAUAUUGGACGAAAUGAGUUAAUUGGAAGAAUUUUAUUGGCUGGAAAGAACGGAUCUGGUGCUUCCGAAACUAAACACUGGCAAGACAUGAUAUCAAAGCCGCGUCAAACUAUUGUCCAAUGGCAUCGAUUAAAACCAGAGUAAACACCACAAACACUAGAGACUAUACGCCGCAAAGCAUCCACUUAGCUGGGCAAACGCGCCUUACUGUACAACUUAUCAAGCAAUCCAAAAAGCCGUGCUAAGCCGCCGAAAAACGAAUAUGCAGACUUAAGUUAAAACUAAGGUCACUUUUCAAAAAACAUACACCGAGUACAAAUUUCACUUGUUAUCGCAGUUUUGGAAUUGGAAGUUGACAGUGCAAUUCUUAACAUACAUAUGUACAAAGAAAUAUUUAAGGAGACUCUGCAUUUUUACUGGGUGGCCUUUGCUGGUCUAUUCUGAAGCGCGGUAUUUUUUGGGCCAUAUAUCAGUCACAAUGAACACUUCUAAUUUGAUAUUGCUCACCUUUAGCAGAACUGAUCCUGACCAAAUGAAAUGGAACUAAGCUUAGCUUAACUAAGCGUACGUCAUUAGCUGUCUUCGAGUCGCCAAGCGUUACUCUCCAGCGAAUCGAACAAACUAUACCAGAUGCUAAAAAAACGGGCAGCACUUGUGGUGCAACCCUGCAUGUCUUCUGACGCAUACGCAAUAGUAUUAUGAUUCUUUCUUAGUGAAAAAAUUAUUUAUUUAUUGUUUAAAAAAAAACGUUGUUGUAACCCUUUAUUUUUGUAUUCUAUAAAUAAUUUCUAGUUGAUUUUAAGUCUUAAGUUUUAAAAAUACAAGAAACAAAAACAAAUUUGUAUUCUCAUUUGAACUAUUCACAAUAGUAAAACUGAUCUAAAUCAUGCAAAAUAAAACUUGGUAGCAUUGAAGAUAGCGGCUAUACCACUUUAAUGAGGUAUUCGCAUACUCUCUUGUACGAAUUCAACUCCAUAACUUUGUUGUUGCUUUUCCAUGUAAUGUUUUUGACAAGAGAGUAGAAACGAGCAGAGAUGGCGAAUCAAAGACAGCUAUCCUUUGCCUUUAUUGUGUUCAGUACAUCAGACAUACUUACAUGCAUACAUAUGAAUUAAUAUGUACUACCUGUGUUUGCAUAUAUAAUAUGUCAUAAAAAACUAUUCAUUUUCAAAAAAUUGUGGCAAAACGAAAGCUGGGCAAUAAAAUUAGUAUUCAUCGAACUGAUGUUAAUAACAAAAAUGUACGGAUUUAUACAUUGCUAACAAAUAUUAAAGUAAACUUAUGUAUAUGUAUGUACUUAAUUUAAUACAACCAGGGGUUCCAUAUAAUUCAAAUUGUAAUUUAAUGUUUAAUCAUAAGGAUCAGAUUGAAAAAAAAUCUAAGUUUUAAUCACGAGCAGAUGAUUGAAAAUAAAAAAAAAAUUUUAGAAAUAACAUUUUUUUCGCGUUUGCGUACUUGGUGUUCUACUAUUUUAAACUAGAGUUUGCACAGAGCCAUCAUCAAUUAUAAUAUUAUAGAGCACAAUAAAAUUUAAAAUUUUUAAUCCCAAACAUCUUGGAUUAAAAAUUAGAUUUGGGAUUACAAAAUAAAAAAAAAAUUUAAUUCAAACGUUAAUUCAAUUAUUUUUUGAAAGCAUUAUUUGGAACUAGAUUUUUAAUCCCAAAUUUUUUAUUUACAAAUAUUCCUGUUUUCCUGAAAAUAAUUGGCAACAAAUGCAAAAUUCAAAUAAUAUUAUUAUAUAAUUUCUGAUUUAAACCAACUUAGUUAUAUUACCUCAAAUGUAUUUUUUUAUUUUAGCUUGUACUCUUAAUCCGUUCACUUGCAAAUAGUAAAGGGGUGAGGCAGGCAGAAAGUAUUGAAAUGAAAUGUGUUUUGCACAAUAUAGCAUAUAAAUAUAUGCAUGCAUGUUCAAAGAUAUGUCUGAAUAUUUAAAUUGGGUGUUGAUAUUAGCAAGUUUUUAGUGUGAAUUGUACACCAUUUCCAAAUAAAACUACAACUGCUGUGAUUGUUAAGUAGUAAAAGUAGUAAAGUUGAGAAAAAAAUGGGAAGAAAUGUGCCAAAAAUGUUACGAUAUGAACAUAAAAAGGGAAAAUUGGGGAACAUGUAAUAAUAAUACUUUAUUGAAAUCAGUUAAUAUAUGCAUAUAAAAACACAAAACUAAAUGUAACUGAUAAUUAAUACUUCUGCAAAUACAAUAAAAAUAACUAACCCAAAACCACAAAAAAAUUACCGCGAAAUAUGUUGAAAAAGUUACAAUUGUUAUUAGUUUAGAAGUUAACGAAAAUAAAUAAAAUAUAUAAUGCAUCUUCAAGUAAAAUAGGCGAGUGUUUGUUAAAAUAUGAAUAUACAAAUGUACGUGGAAUAAUAUAUUAUUAACACUACCGAGAAAGUAUAAAUAAAUAUUUAUAUAUAUACAUAUAUAUGUUCAAUAUUUAGACAUAUCUAUAAUUGCGCUCGCACAUUGUGCACAAAAUAUAUAUACAAAUAUGUAUUUAUUUAAAAUUACAUAUAAUACAUAUAUUGCAAUUAAUUUGUUAAGUCGUUAAAUUUUGACUUCUAAGUCUUAAUGUAGACAUGUCGCCAUUGAAAAGCAGAUACUAUUUGUCGCAACAGUGCUGUGCUAAAACCACCUGAAAAAGCGUUGGUUAAAGCUGUAAUUGUAAUAAACUAUUUUUUAAUGUUGUUAUAUUUGUAAUUGAAAUGAAACAUGUUUUCACUGCGCAUUGAGCUUAGAAAACGGUUGGAUACUUGUAUUGUAUACAAGUUCAUAUGUACGUUUAUUUUAACAAACUAAUUUAGUAUAUAAUAAAUAUGCAUUAUUCAGAUCAUACAAGCAAAAUAUUUUUAACAGCGAAAAUUAUGUUGUCCAUAUAGCUAGUUGCACACAGCGUUACGUUUUUACCCAUGAAUUUUUUUAUAGGAAAAAAACAUUUUUUACUUCUUUCAUUAGUUUGUGUAAAAUAAUUAUCCACAUACUUAAAUACAAUUGUAGCGAUAGGGAAUCUGAAAAAUAAUUAAAAAUUUGUGGCCACAUUUCAGCAAAAUAAAUACUGGAGAGACAUAGUAAAUAUGCAAGUAAUACUAUAUAAAAGGUUUCUGCGUUAAAAACACUAAUUGAACUUCAAUAUUCCUUUCAGUAUAUUAAAAUUGUCACGCGGAAAUAAUUAUUUCUUAAUACUGCAAGCUUUGUUGUUCCUCUUUACUAGUCACUAUAUACGCGGCUUUAUCAAGGAUGACUCGAUACGAUAACAUGAUACGAAACUUUUUUGGCACAGUUAUGCAUAGCACUGCCAUACAUCGGAACUGUCACAAAAAGAAUCUGUUUGAUACGUUUUGCAUGAAUGAGGUUACCGAACGCAGAACAUAACAUAGAAAUCUGUUCAAUUUUAAUUUCUAUGCUGUGUGAGCAGCGUUGCCGUUGCGGUCCGAUUGGACCAAAAAUUGUAGAAAUGAAAACAUAUUAAACAUUUUCAACAAAGCAAUUUACAAAUUCACAAGUUUUUGUGGCGAUUAAAGCUCUCCGAAAAGCGAAAAUUUCGUAGAAAGUGGUUAAAAAUAUUCGAUUGGCUUGAAACAAACAAAGGAGUGCGUUAAAUGUAGCUACAUUUAUAUACAUAUUUGUCCAAGUGGAAGUUGAAAUAAAAACCAUUAUUUUGAUGAUAAAAAAUUUGGUAGUUUGGCUACAGACUUGGUAGUUUGGUAACCAAAGGUUUUCUCAUAUGGCAACACUGUUCACUGAUUCAUUUCAUCACUGAUCUCUUUGCUCUAUUCUCUCAUUACGUCUGUUCUGACACUUCAAUAGUGUUCCCAACUCUCAAAACUGUUUUUCCUUUAAAACUCCGACAAAAACUCCCUAAAUUCCCCUAUAAAGAAAUUAUGAUUAAAAUAAAUAAUAAAUAAUUAUUGCAUAAGCUAUAUACUUAAUUCUAAUAAUUUUUAUCAAUAAAUAUAAUCAAAUAUUAUUGAAAUAAUAUUAAAUUUAAAAUUAUAAAUAAAAAAUUAAAAUCAUUUAGCAACAUAUUUUACUUUUACACAUUUAUUUUAUCUAAUGUAUCAAGUAUCGUAUCCUUUUGAAUCUGCUAUGCUAAACAUUAAAAAAAAAUUCUUACAUAUAUCUUUAACGUCCGAUAAGUUUAUGGGCACAUGUUUAUGUGCCAUAUCGUGAAAAUCCAAAUCAAAGUACAUUGAAGAAGUCGGUGCAACAAACAUUUUUAUAACACAAAUAAAGUUUCAAAUAGUCUAGUAGGUUCAACGUUAUAACUUUCGAAUAUAUUAGAAAAUAAUAGCAAUACUUGUAUAUCAAAUUUUCUGAGCGCCAAAAGAUGAGAGUGGCCCAACAAUUUGCAUCGCUUUGCUUUACUACACCUCGUAUAGAACGUUAUCUGUAACUUAUUUUUUACAUAUUUCAGUUAAAAAAAUUAAUAUUCAAAAUAAAGAAAACCCCUGAAAAUACGCUUAAAAAAAUCCCAUUCGACUCUUUAAGCCCCUAAAUUUAGGGGAUGUAUAGGGAUGUAUAUGCGUUAUAUAAGCCUACUCGGGGACGGAGCACCUAAAAAUAAUAUCGAAAUGCAAAAUAACCCCAAGUUUUUUUUAUAAUACCCAAUCCAUUUUCGUUCGACAGUGGCAUGAUUGGCAAAUGUUAUAAAAAAUGUGGGUUUUGACAGCUCUCUCUCAAUUCAAAGAGUCUCACAUCAUUUCAUCCUUGUCUGUGCAGUGCUGGGCUAUAUAUGCAUAACUGCCAUCCCUAAAUAAAAGCGGCAGCGGCAAAGAUCUGUCGAAAAUUCUUCAUGCCCAAAUAUUUCGUAUGGCUCAUAGCUAGAAAAAAUACUUCACUUCUUAACGUGUUGUCAAAAUCGUUACUGCUGAGCUUAUUUAGGUAUGCGCUAUACAAAACCUAUGGGCAUGAGGAAUAUUUGGCAGUAAUUUGUCGUUGCUGCUUUUAUUUAGGGAUGACAGUUAAUGGUAAUUCGUUGUUUUGCUUAUCAUCUUUACAGCAUGAACUUUCAGUGCUGCUAAGUUAAACCAUGAGAUGAUGGGCUCUCUCAACAAGCAAAAAGAGGUGUUUCGGAUCUCUCUCUCGAAACUCUUUGCUUCGAAAGACAGCUGUCAAAACUCGCAUUUUUACAAUAUUUGUCAGUGAUGCUACUUUCGAAAAAAUUAGUUUUGGUUUUCAAAAAAUAACUUUGGGGUAUUUUGCUUUUUGAUACUGUUUUUUGGUGCCCAUUUCCCGAGUAUACAUAUAUCCUGGAUACAAAACCCAUACAAAUAUUUCCCAUUUAUAAGCUUAACUUUAGUUCCACGGAUUUCAAUAUUAAAUGUAUCGUUCCUUGAAAUUUCGCUUCGCACUUAUUUUAUCAGUUACUUUCAACAGGUUUAUUUCUGGCAUUUCGCCUUUUUUGAUAUCAGCUGAUCGCAAUUCUCUGAUCUGCAUCGCUACCAACAUAAUCAAGGAACGCGUUUGAUUUGCCUGCUCUCUACUUUGCAAUUCGCGCCACUAUGAUGAACACCGUCUAACAACUACAAUUUUUUACAAUAAGAAGAAUAUAGUGGAUGUCUAUACAGCAUCUUUAAUAGCCUAAAUCUAUCCAAAUCUUUAGCUGUUGUAAAUGAAAACAUUUAUCCAAAUUCCAAGCUAUAAUAAUAUCAAAAAUAGUAACGCAUUAUAUAUGCAUUUCUUGGACGCCUCCUUAAAUGUAUUUUAUGAUUUUUCACAUCCGUGUUCGGUCGUCUUUUUAGCUCGUGGUAUCUUGACGAUUUUCAACAAAUACCAUAAUAGUUGCCGUCGAUUCGCCAAGCGUUAGUGGGAAGCGAAUCAAACCAAAUAUACCAGUUGUUCAAAGAAACUGGCAGCACUUGCGGUGCUAACAUGUCUUCUGACGCAUGUGCAAUUGUGUUUCGAUCCUAUCUUUGGUGAAGAAAUUCUUCUUUCCGCGUCAAAAAACGUUUUAGAAACUAUUUAUUUUUAUUUUCUAGGAACAAUUAUUAGAUAUUAUUUAGUCUUCAGUUUCAAAAAACAAAACUUAUACAUAUGUAUACAACUUUGUAUUUUUAUUUUUGAGAAUAAUUUGUCAUUUGAGCCAUUCGCAAUGGUAAAAUAUGCAAAGCAAAACUUGGUAUCAUUGAAGCUAGCGGUUAUAUCACUUGAAUGAGGUAUCCGAAUACUUUGAACCAAUUCAAAUCUAUAACUUUGCCGUUGCUUUUAUAUGUAUGUAAUUAUUUUGACAAAAGAGCAGCGCGCAAAGCUUUUGCCCAUAGAAAUGGCAAAUCUAAACAGCUAAUGCGUAUUGCAAGCUUUAAACGUAUCAGAUAAUCAUUUUUACCUCCAAGUGCAUAAUCGCUAAAUUUUUUUAAUCUGACACACGGCUAUUACUUUUUGAUUAAGUUAGCGAAAAAUCGAUAACUUUUGACAAAUUUGAAAAGACGGACUUACACUAGCCGAAUAUUGAAGCAUUAAACACAUCGAAGGAAGCAGGCGCAGGCAGCAUCUGUCAAAUAUUAAAUUACACACGUUCUUACUGGCACAGUGUUUAAUACAGCACGACCACAGAAGCAUAAAAUAGCUCUGAUAUAUCAUUUGCAGGGCUGAGCACAACUACAACCAAAUGAGUCUCACAAAAUGACAUUGUGUUAGUGCGUUUACAGUGUGACAAAGCAAAUCAGCGGGUCUACGCCGGACUGAAUAUGUGCACGUGCAAAUGAAUGUAUCAAAAUUAAUAUUAAUUCAGGUUGAGAGUUUAUCGCGUAAGAAUUAAUUUAAUUUCACCAACCCGUUCAGUCAACUGCUGAUUGCAGACCAUGGAUAACAUGAUACGAAAUUCUUUGAGUUGAGCGCUGUCAAAGUAUAAAUUUUUUAUAACAUUUAACAGUGGUGCCACUAAGGAAAGGAAUAAGUUAUGAGAUGUUUUAAUGUAUUUCUUAGAUAUUUUUCGGUUUUCAUUUUACAGAAACAUAUACAUAAUAAAAAUUAGUUUAAGAAACUAGAUAUCCUAUAUGAGGCCUAAAUAUAUGUUCAUGUAUAUUUUAAUCACAGCUGAUUUUCAAAAUUAAGUUUUAAAGCUCAAAAUAAAAAAAAAUUUAAUAUAUUAAAACACCUAAAAAAAUUUGAAUAAUGUUUGCGGGGAAUUCUAACCAAACUAUGUAUAUACGUUGACUUUUAAUACUGCCAAGCAAAACAAUACGCUGCGAAAAAAUACCCGCUCGUUCUUAAAAAUGUAUCGUCGUUUUGUCCCAUCGUAAGUGCUCGUUUUACGCUCUUCCUUUGCGCGUGUAAGUGACAAUCCGUGUGUAUCCGUAUACGAUCACUUACGCUCUUUUACCACAUGCUAUAGUUUUUCAUGUAAUAACAAUUGAUAAUUUAAAACAAAUAAAUCGACUUAUUUAUUUAUUUUUUACUCAAAUAAUUUAACUUUGACCAAAAUAUUUAAAUUUCAUUGAGGUGAAAGGUUUUAAUAUGGCCACCACGAAAUUGUUUACAUCAGCUGUUUGAUAUGUCUCUGCCGUCUUAAAAUCUUCAAGAAACUGGCUUCAACACGUCAUUUGCAGAAAAGGAAAUUUCGCUGUCGCUAUGUCGUAAAGCGCAGUCGUCUAUAGGUUUAAAGCAUGAUGUUAUUAUGUUCUAUUCUACCGCUUAAUUAGUGACCAUUUGCUUUCUUCCAAACGGUAAAAUUUUACUUUUUGUUGAGUUGGGAUCAAAAAAUUACAAAGGGGAUGAAAAUAAACAAAGUUUACAUUUUGCUGUGUCCAAUGGAAAGUAAAAUUUUACAAUUUAAAAUAUAUACAUAUUCGAAAUGAGAAAUUAAAGCAAAUACUUUCCUUUGCUAAUGGAUAUUUUUAUCUUCGUCCAAGAAUUAUAUCUAAGGACUUCAAUGACAUUAUGUCCGAUGAUAAGAAAAAUAACUAGAACGCAUUUAAUGAUCUCUGCUAGAACGUCUACGAAAAUUGGGAAAAUCAUUCCCAAAGUAUUAAUGGUUGUUCAUGCAAAUUUGAAGUCGUUUGGUUUUUAUUUUGGAUGGCUUGUGGUUGACAGUGCAUGACAUUGAAGCUUUCAACAGCCCUCUGUAUGCAAAAAAUAGUUAUCCACCGAAUGGAUAAUAAAACAUACUCAUAAGACUUUGGUCCUUCAAUUACUGUAACCGAAGAUGAAGUUAAUUAUCAUAUUUGAAUGAAGUACAUGAAAAUUUACUUCUUGACUCUGUUGACGGCUUAAGAGAAAGAGAGCAAAUAUUUUCAACUUUUUUGCAAAAUAAAAAUUUAAGCUUCUGAAAUUUAAAAAGUAUUUUUAAUCAAUUUUUAAUUUUAAAGAUCACAGUACAUUGAUUGAUUUCAAGUAAUUUUAAUGUUUUUGAUACUAAGUAAAACCAAAAGAAACCCAUAUUAAAAUAAAAUAUGUUAUUACGUAACUUUCCUUGGGAUUAAUAAGAUCGCUUAAUUUUUUUAACAUCAUAAAUACAAAAUUUAAAAUCACUUAAUUUUUCCUAAGAGGUAUACAAAAUUAAAAUUUUUUAUUCAUUAUAGCUACAUACCUAUAUACUGCAAUAAAUAUAAAAAAAUGUAAUUCAUAAAACUAGGUAGGGGCACUUACUAGUAUCUGAAUCGAAUUCAGACAUAAUUAUAUUUAUUCACAUUUUCAUAACUCUGCACAUUCCGAAUAUAGGAAUGGUUAGUGGAAAUCCGAUUAUGAUGACACUAGUAAACUAUCCACAUUUAUGUGUGGAAAGUUCGCCUUGACAAUCUGGCCAAGAUCGGCAAGCAAUGACCCAACUUGUUUUGUCAUUUUUCUAUCUCGUUUCAUUAUAUGCUUUUCCAGCUUAUGUUAUGAACGUGGACUACACGAAGAAAGCCGAGAAGUUGAAGGGGCUGUUUCGGAUAUGGAAGACAAUGGUUCCUUUCUUAAUGAUACUGCAACCUCACUCCUGUCAUUCAUAUAGAGGGGGUGGUAACUGUCUUUUAUGCCAAACUCUUGAGCUGAGUAAAAUUCUGACGCUCGGAUUCACCACGAAAAAUGUCAAAAUUUUAUUUUCACCUGUCCAAAUUUUUAAUUUUCUCCGUUUGACACGCAGCCUUAGUGUUUUCGAUUGUGACAAUAUCUCAAAUCUAAAUUUCAAUAUUAUAAAACGUAUACAUAUGUUUAGUAUAAAAGAAUUUUUUGUUAUCAUAAAUUUUAUUCACCUGUCGAAAAUAUAAUACAUAUGUACAUACAUUCGAAAUCUUAAUGUUUUGUUAUUUCUUCCAUUCCUGGAUAAGAAUAGUUCUAGAAAACUUCCAUAUCAAAAGCAGGUCACCCUCAUUUCACUUGUCGGCAAGUUAUAAAGAUAUUGCAAUUUUUUGUUUGUUCUAAAUUUUUAGGUGUAUAAAUGCUCUUUAACUUUAACCCUAGUCCGACCUUACACAUUAGACCCUCAUGGGUGAAAAUUUACCCAUGUGAAAUUAUUAAUUUGAUUAAAAACCCAUUUAGACAUUCAUUUUCGGUUAUUUAUUUACAUUUGUAACAAAAGUAAACUACUGACAAUUAGCUCCAGAAGUUGACUUGCGCUUUGCUGUGUCCCAAUUUUCUAUUAGCAAAGUUUGCGAUUGAAUCGUUUUUACGCUAUUGGUGUUGUUAUUCUGCGCAAUUUUUUAGGAUUGAACAAGCUCAGUCCCAAUUCCUCCAAAAAUAGUCUGAAAAAUUUCUGGGGUAAACCGAAAGCUUCCGAAGUUCUCUUUUGUUUCAGUCAGGCAAGGAUGUCUUAUUUGCUCUUACAAUUCUCAUCAAAUUUUUUUCUUUUUGUAGCAACUCCAUAGCAAGAUUGAAGGUUGUAAAAAAAUUGUCGCAAAUAACGUUACGACCUCUUAGGCUCUUGCUAAGUCAAAAACAUCUCAUUGGGCUUAAUUCCUUUCUGAUAGCGUACCUUGAAGUUCGCCUGUAUAAACUUGCAUAUUCCAGGCAAAACUGGCUUUGCUGUCACGAAGCGCCUAUACUUCGUGAGCUUAGUUGGAAUCAGAGAUAAAGAGAUGCCCAACUUAUCUCUCACUGGAAAUGAGAGCGCAAUUGCUAAACGUCAAAACCUCCUGAGCUCAGGCAACUGUCGAAGAUCAGGAGGUCUGACGUUAAGCAAUAGGAAAAAGAGGGACGCCUAGAUUGAAAUCCUACAGAAAAAUAUGUGAACAGAGAGAUUUGUUGCUGCUGUUGAAGAUCACUAACGAAAAUUGGAAAACAAUGAAAAUGAAGGAAAAUGCGAAAUUUAAAUGUAUGUGAUGAAAUAUUUUGUGAUGCCAUGCUUCAUUGUAUUAAUUUUCUAUUGAAAAUGAUAAAAGAACAUUUACUAAUUGAGAGUUGAUACAUAUUUUCAUUAUAUUUUAAGGCUUGAAAUAUAUAUACUGCUUGACUGAUCAUUUUCCUCGGAAAGCUAACAGUUGUUCAUCAACUGUAACAUUUUAAUAUGGCAUGUAUAAUAGCUGUUGCUCUUAAAUCCAUUUAUUCCAUAGCUCUCUUAUAGGAGCUAACUUAUCUUGAGUUCGAUGUUCUUGACGCGUACUUUUAUUAAUAAAUCUAAUCACACGUGAUAUCAUCACACAUUUUUUCUUAGAAAUAAACACGGAAAAUUGGUGUUCCUCUGACUUCAUUCCACAAAUUGUUAAAAGUUUCGACGUGUGAUUUGUAAAAACCGCCUAAAAUUAAAAGACCAAUAUAAGAUUCAAUCGGAACGUAGUCUACAGUCUUCCAAUGGCCUCGGAAAACUCCGGAACCUUCAAUGUUAGUUUUUGCAAUUACAAUUUUCAACAUUGGAAGAGUGAAUGAUACUUGAAAACCAUCACGCAUAGACGACGUACGUACGUACGGCUGGUAGCAUAACGGGUUACACUACCUUGCCGGAUGGUACAUUCUCAGACCUUACUCUUCUAUGGAGUUGAGGAGGUUCCGUGGACCAAAGUAUAUACUGAUCAUUUGACUACGCUAUACAAUUUUAUCCAAUUAGUUCUAUGACUUCUCUAUCAUAAUCAUCUUCAAAGUUACAUUCAUUCAAGGAGUUCUCACUUUCAUGAAAAUCGGGAACAAAAUAUUCUUCUUAUUCGGAUUCAACAUCAACAGCCUCGUCACUUUCCGCAAGAAUUUGUUCAAUGGCAUCAACACAUAAAUGCUAUGCACAAAUAAAUAAUGUUGGAGCGAUUCUUAAAUAAUGAACCUUUUUCCUUACCUGAUUUUGAGAACACAUGCUGAUUGUUUUUUUUUUGCAGAGACAUUAUAUUUUUUAUAGAAAAACUUUGCUUUUCUAAUUACAAUAUUAACUAUAGAAGCUACAAAAACGCAUUAAUUUAAAAUAUUUUAUUAAUUGAGAAUUUUAUACAACUUGUUAGCCCACUAGGCUAUUUGCAUUUGCUAUGCAUACAUGUAUAUAUAUCCUCAUAUUAAUAUUUGAAUAAAUACUUUGAAAAAACAGUUUAUAUCCACUUAAGAAUUUAUCUUCCAUUUUAUUUUUCUUUGCAUAUUUUAUGACAUAUUGCUGUAAGAUGUAAAAAUUAAUGAGAGAUUAUUAAAUAUUUCCUUUACAACCCGUCAUAUGUUCAUAUAGAUAUUCUAAAGAGGACCAAACACUUCCAUUUAGACUUACAGCUUAUCCAAUCUUUAGUCAAUUAAAAUGAUUUUUCGAUUUCUCUACAAAAAUAUAUGCACAUUUAUAUCUGCUAAUCAACUACAAAAAUAUUAUCUUUACUUCUUACUUAAAUAUUAAAAAUGCAGAAGAAGACAAGUAUAUUUUAAAAGUAUAAUUCCUUUAUUGAAUGGAAUAAAUAAUAACAUAAAUAAAUGCAUAAUUACGAAUAAAUAUCAUAUUUUAUAACUUACAUAUUUUAUAUGCAAAGUGUAAGGAAAAAUAAAAUUUUAAAGUGACUCGUACUCAUACAGAAAACUGCACUUUAAAUAAACAAACUCCCAUUACCUUUACAUUAAAUUCAAUGCUACUGAAAGCAAGUCAAAACCUGACCAUGCACUACAUCCGAGAAGUAUUAGGAGUAAAAACUAUACACUAGUACACAAGAUUUCAUAAACCUCCAAGUUCAAGCUAAAUGGUUAAUUUUAUCUAUACGUUAUAUACAUUGAUAUAAAAACGUUGCUAAUUUUAAGAUACACUAGUAAGGAACUCCAAAGAUUAAAUGAACACCCGCGUAACCCCUAAUUACCUAUUUGAACUUGUUUGUUGAACCUAAUACUAAAAUCAAAAACACAUAACUCAUUUGGUUGGUCAGACUGGGAGUCAUGCUGCCUGUGUGGGCUCCUUAGGGCCGUGGAGGUCCUAUCUUGGCCACUCGACUGAAGCGGCGGCGCAGCGCGCGAACAUGGUGCAGGUUUCACAGCCGUUGAGGCAGGUGUCGCAGUAUUGCGUUGGCAGCAUGGGGCCACGUAACUCGUGGUCCAUUCCCUAUGGGUCUUAAGGCCUGAGCAGGUUUAAGAUGGCUCCAUCCAAUGCAUGUAUUGCACCUAACCGAGGUGGAGUUUGGAUGGAGCCUUCUAGCGCAAACGCAGCAGAAAAAUUCCUCAGGGCGCGGGUUGGACUCGAUGCCAGCACUGGUCAGGAGGAUACGGAGCAACCCUGCUGCUAGGCGUUGCUCCAAUGACGACAAACUUAAACUAGAGCUUACCGAUCCGAACAGGGUUAGAUCGCCGAAAUAACAGCCCUUGGCCGGAUAAAAUCCGGGUCAAUUCCGGUAACAUAGAACCGGCUGUUGUGGGAAUUGAUAAGGAAUGUCUCGGGAUGGUCGGUUAGAAACCCCCCAAAAUGCUAUUAAUUAAAAAUGCUCCCUUACUCAUACAUAACAUUAGAUUUUAUCAAAAAAAAAAAAACUAUAUUACUCUUUCUUAAAUGAGUUUGGUAAAAACCAUGUCAACACGGAUGGAACACUUAUUAUUUAUUUCUUUUAAAAGUAUUCGUAUUUCAAAAUUAAGUUAGCGAAGGAGGUGCUAUCCUGAUAACUAAUUUGUUAUUUGCAAAUUUUGUAAGCUUAUGCUCGAAUAUUAUGGAUAACAAAUUACAUCAACCAAGUAUGUUUGUGAAAGCGCUAAUCUAGUAACGUGCAGUGUAUAAGAACGUUUCCUUUCUGACGUGAUGUGUGACAACUGAAAGAGGCAGCAGGAACACCACAUACAAAUUUUUUUAUAAAUCGCGGACGCAAACCCAAAAUAAUUAGUGAUAUGGAAUAUAAUUUAUAUACCAAAACACACAGUUAUUUUCAAAUUAGUUCUAUUGUUCAUUAUAGAUAACGGGACUUGACAAAUAUUUGAAAUCAACCGAAAUCUUGUAAUAUUUAAAUACUACUAAUACCACUACUUCUAACUACUUCCAUUUUGUUAAUAUUUGGUCAUAUAGACAUGUAGUACAUCCAAAAUUUUUUAAUUAAAAAAUUCGUAAUAUCAAUAUGCUUAAUAAGUAAUAAUAAUGAACGACAAAAGAAUCCCCGUCUGAACUCCGUUUAGGCUUAUAGAUUUUACAGCUAAUAGCUGUCAUUUCAUGUUCUGGUCAGAAAAUAACCUUCUUUCGGUAAAGUUUACUAGAACUUAACUGACAGGUGGUUGCUAACCAGAUAUUGAGAAAAUCAUUUUUAAACAUAUUUACUAGAACUUAACUGACAGUUGAUUGUUAACCAGAUAUUGAGAAAACUGUUUUUAAACAUGUUGCCGAUAAAGUUCUGAUUAAGCGCUUAACUAAACAAUGAGAAAACGGCCUUUAAACGUACUCGCUUUGCGCGACAGUUCAUACUGAAACAACGAAUCGAAGAAAACAAAUGCUAUGCCACAACGAACGCUUUUUUUUUUUAAUAAUAACCCAACGAUUACCCUCCUCCCGCCCAACCGACGCGAGGGGCGCAAUCCGCAUACGUGCGGAAUUAGCCGAGUCAGAAAAGGCAAGAGAGUUUUUUAAGUGUUGAGAUCUAAAACUGCUCAGCUACAGAAACAAAAAUUUCUACAGCUAAGAUCUAAAGUUACUAAUUUAUUAUAUUAAAUUGUUACAUUUUCAUUUAUUAAGAGAGAACAAUAAAGUCUUUUUAAUUUUGAAAAGUGAGUCAGAUAAGUCAAAUGUGCUGGAAUGAGAAUUAAAAUCAUGACAUAUACGGCGGAAUGGCUCGUUUAGUUCAAAAUUUGAUCUACAGGAUUUUAGCAGUAAAGGUCUAAACUGCCUCGAAAGGCGAACCGGGAUAUUAAAUUUAAUUUCAGACAGGAGAAAAGAACUGCAAACAGUUCCAUUCAAAAGUUUCACUAAGAAUAUUAUGCCAAGCAUUUCCCUACGACUAGAAAGUGUAGGUAGAUUAAUAAGUUUUAAACGACUAGUGUAUGGAGGUAGACUUACCCUAGCAUCCCAUCGGAAAUGCGCUAAGGCGAAAAGUAAAAAUUGCUUUUGAACCGACUCUAACUUUUCAGAAUGGAUUUGGUAGCUAGGGUUCCAUACCACAGAGCCAUAUUCCAAUAUAGGUCUAACCAAAGUUGUAUAAAGUGUUUUAGUAAUAUACGGAUCUCUAAAUUCUUUAGUCCAACGUUUAACAAAACUGAGGACAGCUUUUGCUUUCAAGACCAUGGUAUCAAUAUGAAGACUGAAAUUAAGCUUAGGGUCCAUAUUAACUCCCAAAUCAACAUAGUUUAAAACUUGCUCUAGAAUAUGGUGUUUUAUUACAUAAGAAGAGGGGUGCACAGGUCUACGGGAAAAGCACAUCGUCUUACAUUUUUUGAGAUUCAAUGGCAAAUCAUUUCUACCACACCAUGCAACCAAAUUGUUUAAGUCUGUUUGCAACAGACACCUUUCCUCAGUUGCAGUGUAUGAUUUAAAAAGCUUUACGUCGUCAGCGUAUAAUAAAAUUUUUGAGAAUUCUAUUACUGAAGAGAUAUCGUUAAUAAACAACAAGAACAGAAUCGGGCCAAGAUGACUACCUUGCGGAACACCAGAAGAAACAUUAAUUGUAUCUGAAGGUGUAUCCUCAAAUAUCACUCGUUGUGUUCUAUUAUAAAGAUAGGAAGAUACCCAUUGAAGGAAUCUUGGCUGAAAGCCCAGCAGAUCAAGUUUAUGUAUGAGAAUCGAGAUAUUUACUUUAUCGAAAGCUUUGCUAAAGUCUGUGUAUAUAACAUCCGUAUGCUUAUGUUCCCUAAAACCCAAUGAUACAUGGUUUACAAAUUCAAGUAAGUUUGUUAUAGUCGAGUUCCCUUUACGAAAUCCAUGCUGAGAUGAGGAAAUUAACGGAGAAAUCGAAAAGGUUAUAUGGUCAGUGAUGAUAGCUUCAAAAAGUUUAGGUAUAACUGAUAGUUUUGCGAUACCUCUAUAGUUUUCAACUUUGCUUUCAGUGUUUCUCUCUAAUAAAAAUGGCGACUGUUGCUUGGCAGAGCGUAAAAGGAUGAGAGUUGCUCAGCAUUUUUCUUAGCUUAGGCUUUCUUACAUUGACCUUUUCUGUCAAAACAAAUAUCUGACGCAAAGCGAAACAAAAGUUCUAUGUAAAUCAACCUUUACACGUAGAGCAGCAAAACAACCGAUAAUUGGACCACUCGAUAUUUUUGAUAGGUUACAAAAAUAGUAUCGACAGUUUUUGAACUUGAAAUCUACUUUUUUAUCGCUGAUUCAAAUUAAGAGACCUUGGCUUUGUACCCUUCAUUUUUAUGAAGUAAUCUUUGCAUUUAUUUAUAGAAAGUUACAUAUACAAAUUUUCAUCUUACUAUAUAAACUCCUCUGAGAGCUGUUGAGUUAUAAAAAGGUUAGUUUUUUCUACAAACACUAAUGCAAAAUAAGAUCAAGAAAUUGCAGUAGCCUUUUUUAUUCCUCAAUAAUCCAAUUGUUUUUGUUUGUGUCUCUCGAUUAGCGUAUAGUGCAGAACAAGUAAAGUUGAAAAAAGAAAAGAUCUGGAUUUUGAAAAUAUUCAAAAGAUAUUUUCGUAUACAACUCAUCUCAUUCUUUCCAUUACAUAUAAUAUAUUUAUUAUGUGCAAAACUUUCAAGAAUCUUAAAAUUAUUUUUGAUUAUUAAGUGCUUGCAGCCUACGUAACAGCUGUCGAUUUAAAUCAAUUUUGACAAAUAGUUUGUGGGAUCAGCUUGAAAGCAAGUUCUUGAUCGUGUGACUGCAGCGUUAUUCCUUCGGUAUAGCAAUUAGUUUGUGUUGUAAAAUCAAAUAGUUUAAUUAUAAAUAAUUUUUUCCGUUUCAUCAAAAAUACAAUCACAACAUCAUAAAAAUAUAUAGAAAAAUAUAUUAUAUUCUUGCCAUCAUAAAUACAUUAUUGGCCAAAAGCUCUGAAUUUAAUGCAAAUUUAGUAUAAAUUAAUUAAACAACUAAAAACAAGCUUUACAAUCUCAUUCCACCAUCGUUGCAUAUGAAAAUGUCAAAAAGCAUCAACUUUAUUUGUGAUGCGCGAUAUUCUCUGUCACUGCGCAUCGACUGCCGGUUUAAUGCAUUUCAAAACAUAAUCCAAGGUCAAAAAUAUUUCGUAAGCAGCUUGAUGUGCACGAUUCAUACACAGUGAUGUUUAAAUAUAAGCGCGUUAUUGCUGCAAACUAAUAAAUAAACCGGAAACCUUAUUUGCUCAUAUGUGGAGAAAUUAGUAUAACAAUGUCACAAAAACGCAAAACUUUAGGAACUUAAAGAUAUACACAAACAAUUUUAACUUAAUUAAAAUUUAAAAUUAACUAUAAGUAAAACUAAAAAAUGAAAAAUCAACCCACCUUAAAAUUACAUAUUCGUUAUAUACCUGAUAAAUUUAAUGAAACGAAUGUUAAAGAUAACCAAACAUUAACGUUGUAUUAUAGUUUUUAUUAAUAUUAUCACCGAGUAAAAACACUGUUACUUGCAUUACAACUGUCAUAGUAAUAAUAAGAGAAAUUAUAAAUUAUAAUAAAAAUAGAGUAAUCAUAUGUGUAAACGAUAAUAAAAAAAGUAUAGAAAAAAAUAUAUGUAAAUAUAUAUACGGAUUCGUAAUUGCAAAUAUAAAAGCGUUCAUACAUACUUAUGUACAUAUAUACCUAUUUAUUAAUGAAGUAGUAAUAAUUAAAAAGCAUAAAUAAAAAUCGAUCGAAAACCAACAAAUCCAAUGCAUAAUGGCAUACAUAUAUUUAUGCUAAAUACAUAUGUUACAUGUGUUAUAAUCAAGCUUAGAUAUGCAUGUGCAUAUAAUCAUAUAUUGAAAUAUAGAUAUGUAUGUAUAUAAAAUGUUAAGAGUAUUUUAAAUGCAUAUAUACUAUAGACAUAACAUGUUUUGUUUUAUACUAAUUGUGUAUAGGAAAAAUGUAUGUUCGUUGGUUAGCUAGAAACCUCAGUAUGAGUUCUCAGAAUUGAAGCAACACUUUUUCCAACAAAAAAGCCCUGCAAAAAAAGUGACAAGUCCGCGAUUAGUCGCAAAGGAAAAUGUGCCUAUUGGAACUCUUGAUCUUUUUACAUACAUGGUACGAACUGCUCCCAUUUGUACGAGCGUGUCCUAUAAAAAGACUAAUAGUACCCUUUAUACACACGAUUUGCCAAAAGUAGACUAAUUGCUUUCAUGUUUUUUUUGGUCUAGUCACAUUUUCUAUUUUUUUCUUAUUACUUUUAAAUAAGUUCUAACAUUUUACAUCUAAUAUUCCACAGAUAAGGGGAAUAACAUGGUUUUAAUAAUAAUAUAAUAAAACUGAGUACAAGAGAAAAGAAAGGUAACCAAAAGGCAAGAAUACAUACAAAUUUACUAAAAAAUUAUAUGAAAUGUAAAAAAAACAGAAGCAUCAAGGUUAAAUAUUAUAGUACACAUAUACAUCAUGCAAAAUGUAUGAGAUCUACCUACUAAAUUGACGUUCGGAUAAAUGUUUAUUCACAUUACCAUGAAAUAAUAUUUUGAUACAUGCGUUACAACUAAAUAUACAUAUGUAUGUAUAAAUGUUACCAACUUUUUCGAAGUAAUAGCUCCAUCAGCAAAUGAUCCCUACAAGAACAGUGACAGUCAUCUGACCAGUAAUAUGACAGUGACAGCUGAAAAAAUUUCGUCAGCGCGCAGAACAAAGUUUCUAUCAUAUUCUUAAGAGCCUUGUGCAAAAACUGAUGUAAACAAACCCAUGUGUGUGAUUUUGCAUCUCCCUUUAACACAUAGAUAUUCGGAAUUGAUGCACUAUAUAUCCAUACUGCUCACUCUCAUGCCUUUUCCUAAGUCAUUGCUCUAUCUAUCAAAGCUGAAAAUUGUCAUUUAUGACUGAAAAGCUAUCACAAGUGAAAUAUUCCUUUGCGCAGUAUACAAAACAAUUUUUAUUUCUUUGAUAAAUUCAAAACUUUUAAAUAAAAUUAGUUAAAAUAAUAUACGAGCACAUAAAUAUAAAAAAGGAGUACAACAUAACUAUAAUUAAGUAACAAAUUAUAAAAAACAAUUUCACUUGAUUCCAUGCUGGGUACUCUCAAAUGCUCUGCUGUACGUGUUUCUCCAGUUCAUGGAUAUUUCGGUAUCUAAAAAUGCCUUAAUAAAAAUGAAAAUUUACUAAGAAUAUAAUUUUAUUUGAAACUCAAUAAUAACUAACGUAUAUCAAAUUUUAAAACUCCUUCGUUAUUUAUUUAUUUAUUUUUUAACACAAAAAGAGUUAUUGCACAAGAGCACGCAACACCUAUACAUAGGUAUUUUACAACUUCUCGAAACUUCUAUGGUAAUGUGUGAUGUCUCUUUUCGACGUAUACAUAAUUUGCUUUUGGAAAAAUCGUAAGCAGUCAUUUUACUGUUCAUUUGACUGUCAGUGGUGACAGUACUAAAGAAUGCAACUAUUUCAUUUUUACAUAUGUAAAGCUAUAGUUAGCAACAUAAAUCGUAAGAGUCUCUUUUUGACAUUAACAGUGACAGUCAAUUGCCGGGUAAAUUGAGCGUCGGUACUGACAUAUCAAAUGUGAGUGUAUUGGUGAACCCAUCAGCAGUUUCUUGUAGGGAUGUGUACUAAACACGUACACAAGGGUUUCGGGUAGUUAGGUCUAACAGAAGUUGAUAGCGUAUGACUUACCCGAUAGUUACAGGCAUUCUGAAUAGAAUUUGUAAAAGUCAAUAACAUCCCGAUACAGCAUUUGUGUUUCUAUAAAUACUUACGGUUUAAAAAAAAAUGUAUAAACUAAAGCCGAAAAUUUACCAACUCGACCAUUGUGAGUACAUAAAAAACAUUUGUUCAAGAUUUUAGUCAAAAUUUAUGUGAAUUUAAGGAAAUUAUUUAAUUAAUAGUUCGAAUACAGAAAUAUUAAUCAACAGUUCACAUAUCUAAAAGAGAUCUUGCAACCGUAGAUAACCCAAAGGUAGCAUUUUAUUGUAAGUUAUAACUGAGAAUUGCCAGUAUGUCGGCUGUUACUAAAAUCCCUGUGAUUAUUAUUUAGUAUCUUAUUUUGAAAUUAUGUAUAUCCGAAUUGUGAUUGCUUGCUGAAUUUUUUAAAAUGAAGUGUCAAUUAGGAAGAUAAUGAAACGUAAGGGUCCAAUGCGCACGAAUUUCGCCGAAAAAAGAAACAAUGAUUACCCCUCCCACUAAAAGUAAAAUUAUCGAGCGUUACUACCCACAUAACAGAACAAUUUUUAAAGUGAAUUUGUUGUAUUCUACAAGACGCACACCAUAAAUUAUAGCAGACGUUAAUCUCAAAGUAUUUCUAUUAUUCAUGUUUAUUGUUUACAUAUUAUAUUAUAUAAUUUAGCAUUUAUAUCUUCAUGUUUUAAAAAGAUUUCCUGAAGCAAUGGAGAGAAAUUUUUUUUUUAAUAUAGAUUGCUAUGCAAUAAAAUUUAGGAUAUAUGAAAAUUCAAAACAUUAUGCAUGCAAAAUAUAAAUAAUGAAAAUAGAGUUUGUUCAAAAAAUUAUAUUAGUAUAAAUAAAUAUUGCAGUGAUUUGUUGUUACAUUUAAACUGUUAAAAGUGUUUAAUUUAAGUUUGCUAAAAACAAACGAUACAUUUGAUGUAAUGGAGACGAACAAUUUAUUAACGUAUAUACAAUACAUACGCAUAUAUAAAUGCAGUAAACUAAAUCAGAUAUUAACACCUCUAUUACGACUCUAUAAUAGUGUACGACAACAGAACAUCAAAUGUACUUAACGAGUGAAUAUCGACUACCUACCGCAAGCAAUUGAUCUGUAGCCAUUUUGUGUAUAGUUUGUGUAUUAUUUGGUGUAUAUUGUGAACUAUCAAAAUGAAUAUGUGAAUGGGUGAUCUAUUUAGAGGUUCCCUGCUUUUUUAAA